ACUAAAUAGAUACCCUGGUAGUCCACGCCCUAAACGAUGUCUACUAGUUGUCGGGUCUUAAUUGACUUGGUAAACGCAGCUAAACGCGUGAAGUAGACCGCCUGGGGAGUACGGUCGCAAGAUUAAAACUCAAAGGAAUUGACGGGGACCCGCACAAGCGGUGGAUGAUGUGGAUUAAUUCGAUGCAACGCGAAAAACCUUACCUACCCUUGACAUGGAAGGAAUCCCUGAGAGAUCGGGGAGUGCUCGAAAGAGAACCUUUACACAGGUGCUGCAUGGCUGUCGUCAGCUCGUGUCGUGAGAUGUUGGGUUAAGUCCCGCAACGAGCGCAACCCUUGUCAUUAGUUGCUACGAAAGGGCACUCUAAUGAGACUGCCGGUGACAAACCGGAGGAAGGUGGGGAUGACGUCAAGUCCUCAUGGCCCUUAUGGGUAGGGCUUCACACGUCAUACAAUGGUACAUACAGAGGGCCGCCAACCCGCGAGGGGGAGCUAAUCCCAGAAAGUGUAUCGUAGUCCGGAUUGUAGUCUGCAACUCG
rnacentral:rRNA from 1 species